GGCACCUUUGAAACCAUCUCCUAGGUUUCUUCGGAAGGACUUCGGUCCGUGUACUUCUAGCACAACGUGCUAGUUUCAGGGUACGGGUGCCCCCCACUUUUGUGGGGCCUCCAAAAGGAG
rfam:Cucumber mosaic virus gene for large ORF, complete cds, RNA2.